UACGGGGGGGGCAAGCGUUGUUCGGAAUUACUGGGCGUAAAGGGUGCGUAGGCGGCGCGGUAAGUCGGGUGUGAAAUCUCGGAGCUUAACUCCGAAACUGCAUUCGAUACUGCCGUGCUUGAGGACUGGAGAGGAGACUGGAAUUUACGGUGUAGCGGUGAAAUGCGUAGAUAUCGUAAGGAAGACCAGUGGCGAAGGCGGGUCUCUGGACAGUUCCUGACGCUGAGGCACGAAGGUCAGGGGAGCAAACGGGG
rnacentral:rRNA from 1 species